AUUUUAAUAAAGAUUAAGUACUAAAUAGANNNCCCAACANUAGUUGAUUACANUGAACAAGUUACUGUAGGGAUAACAGCGUAAUAUAUAUCUAAAGUUCUUAUUUUGAUAUAAGUUUGCGACCUCGAUGUUGAAUUNAUAUUACUUUCAAGCGCAAGAGCCUGAAAAGUGGGUCUGUUCGACCCCUAAAUAUAUACAUGAUUUGA
rnacentral:rRNA from 1 species